GAUUAACGCUGGCGGCGUGCCUAAUGCAUGCAAGUCGAACGGGGUCCCUUCGGGGGUACCCGUGGCGGACGGGUGAGGAGCACGUGGGGAACCUGCCCACCGGUGGGGGGUAGCCCGCGG
rnacentral:rRNA from 1 species